rnacentral:rRNA from 1 species
GCCUGACCUUAAACCUUAAAUUACUACCCUCAUCGCCAAGGAACUACGAGCUAUGCUUAAAACCUAAAGGACUUGACGGUACUCCAUACCCCACUAGAGGAGCCUGUCCUAUAAUUGAUAAUCCCCGUUAAACCUCACCACUUCUAGCCUAUCAGCCUGUAUACCUCCGUCCUAGCUCACCCUAUGAAGGAACAGUGAGCCUUAACGUCAUUAACUAAUACAUCAGGUCAAGGUGCAGCAAAUGAAAUGGUAAGAGAUGGGCUACACUUUCUAUUUUAGAAAAAACGAAAGGUCAUCAUGCAACCUUACCAGAAGGUGGAUUUAGCAGUAAAAAGAAAAUAGAGUGUUCUUUUGAACCCAGCACUGGAGUGUGCACACACCGCCCGUCACCCUCUUCAAAACCAAACAUCAGUACUUAACCAACUUUUAUAACAAGAAGAGGCAAGUCGUAACAUGGUAAGCAUACCGGAAGGUGUGCUUGGAAA